rnacentral:rRNA from 1 species
ACUCGCUAAUGGGUCAUUAUAUACAGCUUAUAGUUUAUUUGAUGAAGAAUACUAAUUGGAUAACCGUAGUAAUUCUAGAGCUAAUACAUGUAUAAAGUCUUGUAGACUGCAUUUAUUAGAAUGAAAACCAUAGGUUUCGGCCUAUUCGUGAGUAAUAAUAACUAAUCAUAUCGUAUGCUUAUGUAACGAUGUGUCUUUCAAGUUUCUGCCCUAUCAGCUUUCGAUGGUAGUGUAUUGGACUACCAUGGCAGUAACGGGUAACGA